rnacentral:rRNA from 1 species
UAGGGAAUCUUCGGCAAUGGGGGCAACCCUGACCGAGCAACGCCGCGUGAGUGAAGAAGGUUUUCGGAUCGUAAAGCUCUGUUGUAAGAGAAGAACGUGUGUGAGAGUGGAAAGUUCACACAGUGACGGUAACUUACCAGAAAGGGACGGCUAACUACGUGCCAGCAGCCGCGGUAAUACGUAGGUCCCGAGCGUUGUCCGGAUUUAUUGGGCGUAAAGCGAGCGCAGGCGGUUUAAUAAGUCUGAAGUUAAAGGCAGUGGCUUAACCAUUGUUCGCUUUGGAAACUGUUAAACUUGAGUGCAGAAGGGGAGAGUGGAAAUCCAUGUGUAGCGGUGAAAUGCGUAGAUAUAUGGAGGAACACCGGUGGCGAAAGCGGCUCUCUGGUCUGUAACUGACGCUGAGGCUCGAAAGCGUGGGGAGCAAACAGG